rnacentral:rRNA from 1 species
AACGAACGCUGGCGGCAUGCCUAACACAUGCAAGUCGAACGAGACCUUCGGGUCUAGUGGCGCACGGGUGCGUAACGCGUGGGAACCUACCCUUAGGUUCGGAAUAACUCCCCGUAGGGGGUGCUAAUACCGGAUAAUGUCUUCGGGCCAAAGAUUUAUCGCUUUUGGAUGGGCCCGCGUUGGAUUAGCUAGUUGGUAGGGUAAAAGCCUACCAAGGCGACGAUGCAUAGCUGGUCUGAGAGGAUGAUCAGCCACACUGGGACUGAGACACGGACCAGUAUCCUACGGGAGGCAGCAGUGGGGAAUAUUGGACAAUGAGCGAAAGCGUGACCAAGCCAUGCGGCGUAAGUGAUGAAGGCCUUAGGGUUGUAAAGCUCUUUUACCCGGGAUGAUAAUGACAGUACCGGGAGAAUAAGCACCGGCUAACUACGUG